rnacentral:lncRNA from 1 species
CAGCCAAGGUCAAAUGCACUCUGAGGUUACUUAGAAAAGGAGAGCAUUGUCUCUUCAAGAAUCAAGCUUCUUUCCGAGAUAACUUUCGCACGUGGGACUUUGUGUAGUGCGCGGUGUUCCAACAGUGUGUCCCUGCAAUGCAAUCGCCGACUUCUAUAUGACUGUUUCUUCUAGUAACUUUUUUGAUAGGAGCAAAUGGCAGGACAUUAAAAUACAAUUCAGAGACGGCAGUUCCAUGUGGGGCUAAGGUAAUACGGCCCUAGUGUGAAGCCGUGAGGUGGUCAGGUUUGAUCCACGGAUGGAAUUUAGAGUGUUUUGAAGAAUGGAUGAACUGCUUGUCCUUCAAAUAAUCUUUUGUAAAUAUUGCUUUUCUCAGCUGGGCUUUUGAUGGGAGUUGAAUAGCAGACAGUUUGAGAAUGUAUUCUCUGACAAGAGCCUGGUGUGUUUGUAUUCUCUGUUGCUGGUCCAGGGCAGAGCCUUAUGCCUUAGAAAUCAGAAGUGCAGGUGGUAAAGUUGACAUCUUAUUGUGAAAAUUGGACUCCCGCCUGAACGGAAGACCAUUCUCCCUCUCCCUAAGCAGAGCUGCAGGAGUCCUUGCAAGCAAAUCCAGACUCUUCUUUGGGAGUCAGGCUGGGGGGCCUCUUCCAGGGCUCAGGUAAGUUCUCAGACAAGCCCUGUGGUUCUGGGCAUUAGUUCCGAGGGUCCAAACCACAGUGCAGCCCCGCCCUGGUUGGGGUGGACCCAAGAGAAAGGGUGACGGGCGGACAGGUUACAUCCUAUUGCUGGAAGGUACAGCCUACCCUGCUUCUUUAGCAUCCUUGGAGAGAUACCUGUGGGUCAAGAAGGAAUCUGUGCUGGAAGUAUCACCUGUGUGGUUCUAGGCAAAAGAUAGUUGAACGACUGGUCUGGUCUGUGGUCGGAAUGUCUCUAGCCUAGGUUCCUAGCUGCCACCACCCUGCAAGUAGCAGAAACUCUGUAAUUCCUUCACAGGAUUCAAAGUAACAUAAUUUCGUGGUAGACCUGCUAGAUCAAUUAAGCCCCAUUUUUUUUCCCUUGAGAAAUUAAAUGAAUUAAUCUGUUCAGUGAAGGUGUUUGAGCAAGUCCCAUGCCAUGGAGAGACAUGUCCGCUAUUUCAGUUUGCUGCAGCUACUACUGAACCAUUCCUUCUGAAGGCAGAUGCCAAGACCGUUGAUCUGUUGACACUACUUUAUGUCAAGGUCUAUAAAGAAGAACUGUGAUGAGAAGAGAGAGAAGAAGCGGAAAGGAACCGUGGGGAUGAGCUGGGGCAGUCUUGGGAUUUUCAAGAGGCGUGGGGAAGUUAUGACUCUCUUACAGAAAGUCCAUCACCCUGGGCGAAGACUUGUUUCCACCGUGUGGCAGGUCGGGUGUGUCUGUGAGGGGGAUCCCAAUACAUGGUGACAGUGGCUCUUGCGCUUCUCGGCAUCCAGGGGCCUCAUCAGCAUCCAUCCGCAUUCAGCUUGUUCCAGGUGGGGCCUGGAUGCUGGUGUUACCUGGUGGGAGAUGCCUGGUCUCCCUUUAAAAAAGAAAUGGCUUGAACCUGGUGACCGCGUCUUCCUCACACAGAGGAGGGGGUUGACCAGGACACCCAGAAACGCAUCAGGGUGGUGCUUUGUGAGUCUGUUGUAUGGGAGUCAACCCAGUUCUCUGCCUUUCUAGACAGCUUCAAGCUGCUGUGACCAUUAUUCCAGUUCAUUAAAUGUUAAUGGGUUAUCAAUAAAGGAAGAGUAAUCCCUUGAAGUCCCUUUAACGUGUUUUAUUCUUCCUCUCAAAUAAAUGAUUAACAUCAAUAGGAAUUGCUCAAUAUAUGGUGUCUGCAAGACCGCUUGCUUCUAGAGGCUUUCUCCUGUAGUUUAUUGCCUGGAGUGGACGCCUUGAUAAGAUCUUCAAUAGAGAAAGCGGUGGACAUUUGUAUCCGCUGGUCAGUGACAUAGAGUUGGAUCUAAUGAGUGCACUGGCUCGAGGGCGAGGGCGUUUGCAUAAAUCACACUGUUCUUUUCCCUCUCGGUUGGUCCUGCUUGUAGAACCAGAGUAUCUUUGCGAUGGCAAGGGUCCUGCAGUUAUUUUAUCCAGCAGCCCAUUCUUCAAGGAACGUCUUCCGUAGCUGCCCUGGCAGAUGGUCUCACGCCCUCGGUCCUUACUUCUGGGGAAGGGCCUCGCCUGCCUCCUGAGGCCCCUCGUUCUGCUCCCCCACCGCUGCCCUAGUGGACCAUUUGCCUCCCCUUCCCGAUGCUCUCUUACUUCCUCCUCCUCAGGGUGCUCAUCACAGUUGCAGUCUUCCAUUGAUUAGGUUGCCUCCCCUAAAAGACUGAAAGUUUGGGGAGGCCAGGGGCUCCCCUUUUAGAUGGUCCCUGUCCCGGUGACCAGGGGUGAUUUGUUGAAUGAGUGGAGGGGUGAACUCAUGCACUCGAGCUCAGAAACUUCAAAAGAGAACCAGGAAGGAAUUAUACAUCAUGCAAAUGGAAACAGAGACUUUUUUCCCCAGAUACCAGCUCAUCUGAUCACAACAACUUUAAAGUGAACGUGAAGGGGAGCGUGGCGAGAAACACCCAGGAACAGGUUUUUUUAAAGACAAGCACUACAAAACUAGUUACAAUACCCAAGAAUUAAAAAUAAAUUUUUUAGGAGUUCCCAUUGUGGCUUAGUGGAAACGAAUCUGACCAGCAUCCCUGAGGAUGCAGGUUCGAUCCCUGGCCUCGAUCAGUGGGUUAAGGAUCCAGCGUUGCCCUGAGUUGUGGUGUAGGUCGCAGACACGGCUUGGAUCUGGUGUGGCUGUGGCUGUGGUGUAGCAGCUGCAGCUUCGAUUCAGCGCCUAGCCUGGGAACCUCCAUAUGCCACAGGUGUGGCCCUAAAAAGACAAAAAAUAAAAAUAAAUAAAUAAAUAAAUUUUUAGGACUCAGAAACAUUCAGAACAUGGGAGGAUCAAAAUGUGGGUGGCUUUUUUUUUUAGCCUUGCGUGGUGACUCUGACCUUGGAAAUAUCACAGAGAUUUGGUGAGACUGAAACAGAUAGGAAAGGGGGCUUGAAAAGCCUUCCCUGUGGAGGACAGAGGGCUGCUUUGCGGAGGAGAGUCACCCUGGAGUGGAAACCCACAGAGCAGAGGCAGCAGCCUGGAGGAGAGCAUUCAGUGAGGAAAUGCAGCUUCAGGCCCCAGAGCUCCGCAGAAGGACUCCAGAGGCAGAUACGGGGGCACCCAGCAGGUGGCCCCAGCCCCAGCUCCCAGCGCAUCUCCUGAUGGGGAGGUCCUGCCCCGGAUCCCCACACACAAGGGCACUGGGCCCGUGAUGCACCCCGUCUCGGGCCGGCCCAGGGACAGCUGCUCUCCUGAGUCCCAUCUCGAGAGAAUCAUCACCGUCCCCAUGCUUCCCGCCUUCCCUCAGCUCCCACGUCGCCUGAGUCACCCAGGUUUGUCACUUCUAUCCUUGCAAGGUCUCCUGACCUACCUUCCUUUCCACUAACACAGCUCAGACCCUGAUUCCUCUCAGGCAUCUCCUUGCACAACCAACUCACAGGAAGGGGACCGCCCUGCACGCCCGAUCUUUGCUCUCAGUUGCCCGACUCCACCACCCGCUCUGCCCCCAUCUUCCCGGGUGUCUUCUGAGCACCCCCUGCCCCCAGACCAGUCAGAUUCUGUGCAACGUCAAGGCCCUGCUUCUGUCCCGUCUCACUCAGAAAGCACCUCUCCACAGCUGCUCCCCCGUCUCCAGCCGCUCCUGGGCCUCUGACUCCUUUUCCUUCCUCCCUCCAUCAUCUUCCCUGGUGGCUGAGUCUCUGCCUUCCCCUCGCCCACUCCCCACACCCUCACCGACCCCCGAGAGGUCUCAGUCAUCCUUGUCACCAGUCAGCCCAUGCCCCCCCGCCGCCCAGCGUUGCAUACAGAUGGUGCUCAGUCAGUGUUUAUGGAGGCGAAUGGGAUGUUUCCUCCCAAGACAUGGAUUCCGCACUCUCCCUGCCCUUCUGGUUUGGCAGCUUUUCAGCCUAUUUUCAGAGGCUGUUUCAGAUCCUUCCUGGAAGGACGGUCAGGCGGGCAGACGGCCGUUCCUCCGUUCCUGGGACUCACGCUUUGCUCUCCUUCGUCCCGGCUUCUCUAGUCUCCUCCUCUCCAGAAUCCCAUGCAGAUGACAGGGUCUCCAGGGGCCUCUGCAGAGCCUUCAAACUCCGGAACGCCGUGCCCGGGGCCAGCAGACAGCAGCUCCCUUACAGCAGUGGCAGCGCGCUCUGGGCAGACCAGGAACCGUCUGGCGCUUGAGGCCUCUCCUCCCUGCUGGACGUGGACAUCCUGGUCCCUCCGGCAGAAUUUGAUUCGCUGUCUCUCCGCCCAGCACUGGAGCUGCUCAGGGCUCUUUGGGAUUUUUUUUUGUUUUGUUUCCUUCUGUUUUUUGGUUGAAUUCCCCACUCAUCCCCUCCGCGUUUCAGGGGUAGAGUCACUUCGCCGUAAUAACUGCUCCGAUCAUUUACGCAGCCAUUUUAGGUAUUGAUCAACAUAAUAGUUAUUUCAUCAAACCCUAGAAACUCGCCCUCCUGGCAUGCUUUCCCCACCCACGCUCACCAAGAAAAGAGAAGUCCCUCUUCACCCCAUAGCCGUUGUACGGAUGCCGUGAAAUACGUUCCUCACUUUGCUCUAUCCAUACCGCUUCUUCUUUUGUUCAAAGGGGAUGUAGAAGAGAAAGAAGAAAGCCUCGGUCUACACAAAUAGCACUAAAUAUAAACAGUGGAAAUAGGCUUCUGGGUGUUAAACGCUCCGGGGAAGUUGUUAUGGCAACCUGAAGUCCCAGCAUUAAUGCGAUGGGAUGGAAGCGGUGCCUGCAGUGGUCGCCGUGUUCUCCAAGAUUUAUCUUCCCUCUGAGACAGGAGGCAGAGCUUUGAUUUAAUCAGUGACAUCUCGAUUUAGAAUAGGGAGACAAGCAGGUGGGUAGUGGGGCCUGGAGUUGGGUUUCCAGAACAAGUUUUGUAUUUCUCUGUUCAGAGGAAUCAGACGCCUCCUUACACGAACUUCAGUGAGCCUUGUUCAGAGCACAUAGGUUUAAAGUCAGAGGAUAGAUAAUGUAGGUAGACAUUAAUUCCCUCCAAAGAGCCUGAAGUUCUGUUGAAUUUAAGGAGUCCUUGGACUGGAAUGUGAAAUCAAUGUCUUUAUCAGGAAAGGGCCCGAUGAUACAAUUGUUUUGCUGCUGUUGUUGUUGUUGUUUUGCUUUUUAGGGCCGCAUCUGCAGCGUAGGGAGGUUCCCAGGCUGGGAGUCGAAUCAGAGUUGUAGCCACAGACCUGUGCCGAAGCCACAGCAACUUGGGAUCCGAGGUGUGUCUGUGACCUACACCACAGCUCACGGCAACGCCGGAUCGUUAACCCACUGAGCAAGGCCAGGGAUCGGACCCCCAACCUCAUGGUUCCUAGUCGGAUUCGUUAACCACUGUGCCACGAUAUGAACUCCCCAGUGAUACAGCUCUUCUUGCAACCGUCCAAGGUGAUAAAUUCCUAGAGCAGAGAUGGGCUGUGGGUCAGGAAUCCUCAACAGAGACGAAAUCAUGGUGUCCGGCGAGAGGGCGAGAAGGAACAUGAGCAGGAAAUAGGAAGUCCUGGUUUUCACUGAGAGGACAGGCUUGCAGGUGCCACCAUGUGCAAGUUGUGACUCUUUUUUUUUUUUUUUUUUUUUUUUUUUUUUGUCUUUUUGCCAUUUCUUGGGCCGCUCCUGCGGCAUAUGGAGAUUCCCAGACUAGGGGUCGAAUCGGAGCUGCAGCUGCUGGCCUAUGCCUGAGCCACAGCAACGUGGGAUCCAAGCUGCGUCUGCAACCUACACCACAGUUCACGGCAACACCGGAUCCUUCACCCACUGAGCAAGGCCAGGGAUGGAACCCAUAACCUCAUGGUUCCUAGUUGGGUUCGUUAACCACUGCACCACGACAGGAACUCCACAAGUUGUGACUCUUGAGUUCUGUGAGGGAGGGGGAGAGGAGAGCAUGAGCCUUCCUUUUCAGGGGAAAUAAAUCACCAAGAAGGAGUGUUUUAUAGAGGGAACCCGACAUGCCCGUCACUUCUGUUUCCUGAAGCCAGAGACAUGCAGAAUAAGGCCCCCAUCUGGGGAGGUGAACAGGGAGCCGCAGUUUAAGUGGUCUUCUAGAACAUGCCAUCUAGAAAGGGAACAGUGAGCUGCCAGGCACAAGGGUGGGCAAAGCAGACGGGAGGUCACAGCAACCUUUGGGAAAACGUCUCCCCAAAGACUGUUUAUUUGUUGAAAGAGUAACCUCAUUCAUCCUCUCCAGCCAUGCGUCAACACCCCUGUGCUCGCCAAAGGAGCACUCGCCAGCACCAGCGAUGCCCAUGGGAGGGUCCAGAGCCUUUAGACCCGACACCACAGAGAACCUGCUUCUCGUGGGCAGACCACGGGGUAGAGCAGCCUGGGAAACGCCAGCUUCACAAACUCAGUUACCUUGCAGUUCCCUCCUGAGGCCGUCCUCGCCUCGCCAGAAAAGGGAAUGAAGACCCCCAAUCAGGGAGUUCCCACUGUGACACGACAGGGUUGGUGGUGUCUCUGCAGCACCAGGAUGCAGGUUCAGUCCCCCGCCAGGCUCUGUGGGUUAAAGGAUCCAGCACCGUCACCAGCUGUGGCGUAGGCCAUAGGCCUCGACCGUGGCCCU